UGGGGAAUAUUGGACAAUGGGCGAAAGCCUGAUCCAGCAAUGCCGCGUGAGUGAUGAAGGCCUUAGGGUUGUAAAGCUCUUUUACCCGGGAUGAUAAUGACAGUACCGGGAGAAUAAGCCCCGGCUAACUCCGUGCCAGCAGCCGCGGUAAUACGGAGGGGGCUAGCGUUGUUCGGAAUUACU
rnacentral:rRNA from 1 species